CCUCCGUCCAUCCCAACAUGGCGGACGUCGAGGAGGAUCACAGUCUGCUGGCGGCGGAGGCCGGGGAUAAUUACUCCCUGUCCGGCGGAGAGACGAGUGGCCGUGCCGGUACAUCGCUCCCCGCCAUCUGCGACCCGGCUCACGUCUUACACCGGGUCGUCAUCCUGGUUUUUAUGUGUUUCCUCGGAUUCGGGAGCUAUUUCUGUUAUGACAACCCAGCUUCCCUUCAGACUCAAGUCCUCCAGGAUUUGAACCUAAACACGGCCAAGUUCAUGCAGCUUUAUGCCUGGUACUCGUGGCCCAAUGUCAUCCUCUGCUUUUUUGGGGGAUUCCUCAUUGACAGAGUCUUUGGCAUCAGGCUGGGAACCAUCAUUUUUUCCCUGUUUGUUUGUGUUGGACAGGUCAUAUUUGCCACUGGAGCUUUGGUAAAUCAUUUUUGGCUGAUGGAAAUCGGACGUUUUAUAUUUGGAAUUGGAGGGGAGUCCCUGGCUGUGGCCCAGAAUACAUAUGCAGUCAACUGGUUUAAAGGGAAGGAGCUCAAUCUGGUGUUUGGUCUUCAACUGAGCAUGGCUCGUCUGGGCAGCACGGUGAACAUGAACAUCAUGGGCUGGGUGUACAGCAAAGUGUCUCUCCUGGUCAGCGCUCCCGGUCACAUCACGCUAGGCUGCUCGCUCAUGAUAGCUGCUGUAACCUGCAUAUUCUCGCUAAUCUGCGCUUUGGUGCUGGCAUUCCUUGACAAAAGAGCGGAGAAAAUCCUUCAAAAGGAGCAGGGCAAAACCGGCGAGGUAAUUCAACUGACUGAUGUGAAAGACUUCCCCUUGCCCCUGUGGAUCAUCUUCAUCAUUUGCGUGAGCUACUACGUGGCCAUCUUCCCCUUUAUUGGACUGGGACAGGUCUUCUUCAUUGAGAAGUUCAACUUUUCCCCUGCCGAAGCGAGAGCUGUUAACAGCAUUGUUUACGUCGUCUCAGCUCCGGCGUCUCCUAUUUUGGGCUUCGUGGUAGACAAGAUGGGGAGGAAUGUGAUUUGGGUGAUGUGCGCUGUGUGCACCACACUCGCCUCUCACAUGAUGCUGGCCUUCACCUUCUGGAACCCAUGGAUUGGCAUGUCACUGCUGGGGGUGUCCUACUCCCUAUUGGCAUGCGCUCUGUGGCCUAUGGUGGCCUUCGUGGUACCUGAGCACCAACUGGGGACGGCUUAUGGCUUCAUGCAGUCCAUUCAGAACCUUGGACUCGCGCUCAUUGCCAUGGCAGCAGGAACCAUCCUCGACACCAAAGGAUACCUGUUUCUGGAAGUCUUUUUUUGUUCCUCCAUCUGCAUUGCAUUGAUGGCGGUGGUGAUGCUGUACUUGGUGGAUUUUCUAAGAGGAGGGGAUUUGAACCGGUCAGCCGCAGCCAGAGCCAAACUCCUGAAAGAAGCCACUUCAGAUGCCGAUGACAAGGAACAAAGCAACAACAAUGGCGACCGUAGAACAGUGUCUGCUUGAACAAAUGGACCUAGAUGACCAGAUGAUACGUUUAAUUACGCUGCAAAAUCGAUCAAGAAGGCGGCGUCGUUGAUGAUGAUGAUGAUGUUGUUGAUGAUGAUGAUGAUGAGGGAUUGCUCACGGUCCUGGGCGUACAGAGGGACAAGCCGCACCGUCCACCUCUCAGCUGUCAGUCGUGGGCCUUGUGGGCGGUAUUGCGGAACUUGUGACUCCGCCCAGUGCUGUCAUCUGUGGCACUUCCCCACCACAACUGACUGUCUGGACAUAACAUCUGGUUUAUUUUUCUUCUGUUGAAGAAGAAAUUUCUAUUUCCAUUUUAAAGCCUUUUUAGUAUUGGAACGGAGAGGAACCUCGCAGCCCAAGAUACCUAAUUACCUUUUCAUCUGGAGAGUCAUUUUUCAAAAUAUAUUUGAAUGUUGUGCUUGUCUUUUGUACAUAUCAUUUAUUUGUAAUAAUUGCUGGAUUCUCUCCAAGCAGACAGACUUGAUAUUUUUAAUCAUUCGUACUGUGGAACAUUAAUGGUGGCUGCUUUAAAAGGACAUUGCUCUUUAAGUCUUAGAUAAAGCAAUUACAUGGUGACUACUCCUCACUGGUUUGGGGAUUCAUUAGUACUUUUUUUCGCAUUUAUAACCACUCAAUGAUAUUUAAUAUUUUUAAGAAAUGUUAUUAAUGUGUCCUUUUGAGGACAGUUUAUUCAUUAAGUUCAAGUUGUGAGCUGAAUGAAAUAAUUGACUUUUUUGUUUGAGAGUGAUUGCACUACAGGCAAGUAGUACUGUCAAAAACGCUAUCAACCACUUGAACAAUCACUAGUUAUUUGUGUCAAACCAAGUACCAUUUUUGAAUUAAACAAUUUUCUGAA